UUUUUUUGCAAUGGGAUACUCAAAUAAAUCAAAUAACUUGCAAGUGAUGCACUUGGCAUCCUUACAGAAAGUAUAUCCUUGCAUUAUUUGGCAGAAGGCAAAAGUACACGUGUAUUGUGAGCAACACUUCAUAUCUAUGAAUAGUUCAGCUAAGAGAACAGUGGUUAUGCUAUUCUAAGCCUGUGUAACCUUUGGGAAAGUUUGAAUAAAUUGCUGAAUGAAGUUCAGGGGCUAUUACAUUUAUGAGGUUUACAGAGGGCAGAUGCCCCCGUUCUAAACAUUAGAUAGCUGCCACAUUCCCUUUUGGGCCUUUAACAGGAUCCAGGAAGCAAUGCAAACUAGUCCUUAAGUAAACAGUGUUGAUUGGUUGAAAAUUUUGAUGUCUUGAAAUCUCUGGUCAUGUGCAAAAUCCUAAGCCAGCCCGACUGGGCCUUUCCUUUUUAAUUCUUCCCCUUCAGUUUGACAGAUCUUAUGGGAGAAGUGCAGAAGAGUUGAUGGAGUCACUGACAAUUCUGUAACUUUGCUCAGCCAUUCUGAGGUUCAAACAGUCCUCCAUGGGCUGGAGUAGAUGUCCACACAUUGUAAAAUCUUCCUGGGUUUGAGAAAAAAGGGUCAAUAACUGGAGCAAGGAAUUACAAAUGAGAUUGAAGAGGUUCUAAGCAACUUGGGACCUUCAUUCUCUGGAAGAGUUUUACAUUAUCCUAGAGAACUCUCUUUCACUGUGCUGUUAGCAACUGGGAAGCCUUUCUGCUGGCUGGAUGCUUAUUUAACUUGGAAGGCCAAAGCCAUCUUGUUCUGUAGUAAGUGUUUAAAUUAGGCAUAUAAUCUUCAGCAUCUAUUUCCUAAGGAAAUCAAGGGACCGGCUCUUUCCAUACAUUUCUGGCAUGCUACAGUUAUUUUUCUAAUCCAUGUGACUACAAAUGGUGGCUUCCUCCUUUUACUCAGCACUGACUGUCAAAGCAUAAGGAAGUACAAAGCUGAUACACUGUAAAUGAACUAUCUUUUUUUUAAAGCUCAGAGAUAAUUGAAAUACAGAACAAUAUCAUCACAGUUCUGAACAUGGAAAAAUAUACUGCUUUCUGGAACAAAGGUAUCUUUUGUGCUCUGAGAUAAAUCUGCAGAACUACCUAAAUAUGCUUAAACAGAAAGUGAUUGAAGACUGUUGCUUGAAUGCCAGUUUUCAAAUGAGGAUAUAUUUUUAGAUGCAGUUCAUGAAUUGCUAAACCCAGGAUUUUCAAGUGGAAGUGCAGAGCUGUUGCUGCAACUGUGUGCCAACAGUAAUUGUGAUUAAAACAGAGCAGGUAAUGGCACAAGCAGAGCAACUACACAUAUUUAGAUUUCUUCCAAAACCUGUAUUGUGACAACUGAAGUAAUACAUGUGCACAUGUAUUUCAUCCUAUGCUGCAAAAAUUAUUUUAUUGUUUGUGUUAUAAUUGCUUAUGUAGUCUCCAUCUCAAAGGAGCGGAGGACUCUACAGUCAUCUGCUGAUAUAUAUUGUAAAUGGCAUACAGACAGAAAGGAGAGUACAAAGAGAUAAUAAAAUAAUGCUGGUCUGCAUGCUUGGUUUUGCUUGGUUUCUGCUCAUCAAUAGCCUAAAUGUGAUAAGUAUUCUUUGUGUGUCACAGAAAGGGAGAGCUUUAAGGAAGCAUUUGAAGGGGCCUUAUGAAGUAAAAGAGAAGCGCCUUUUGAAGUGAAAUGGAGAGAGACAGCAGCAGAAGCAGGUUGCCUUUGAGGGUACUUCUGCCUGUAACCUCUUGAUCUCCAGAAAUCCUUAGGGCACUGGCACAGUUGGAAUAACAGUCAGGAGAUGUGAUUCUCUUCACAUGCUACUGCAGAAAUCCAUACUGAGAAAGUGUGAAGGGGUGUCUGAUGAGGGCAAGGCAUUUCUGCUUUCCCUCUCCUAGUUGAACUAUUUACUGGUUUGUUAGCAUGUGGAAAUGAUUCCAGCAGCAAACUGAAAACUUACAGACAGCUUUAAAACUAUCUGAAAUAUGCAGAGGCUUUGUGAUCCAAGAGGGAUGGUUAUGAGUGAUCACUUCCAUCUCCUGUAUCACCCACAAGAAAGAUCCCCCAUUUCUUUAGCUGCAGCUGUGCUUCCCCACUGCUACCGACGUGACCCAGUCCUGCCUAACACAGGGUGGGGUCACAGGUGAGAAUGCAAGAAUGAACAGGAAGACACAGGAGGCAACCACAUGAGGUGCAAAACAGAAGAUGGAUGACUGCAUUAAAAACAUGUCCUGGAUGUUGUUUGGCCUCAGUUUUCCAUGCCAGCUUCAGAGGCACAAAGGUAAUAUGCACUUAUCUGGGUGGCAACAAGGCAUACCUAGCAACCCUGAUGCCAUAUUCACCAUGGGUUUUGGCAAUCGAUGUAAUGUUGUUUUCCUACCAGUAAUUAGGGCUUUCAGAGGUAUAAAAUGCCCGUGUUCAUUCCAGUGGAAGAUUAAGUUUGAAGUCUAAAGUGAAACCUUAAAAUUUCCACCAUUAUUAUUUAUUACACAGUUAAUAAUUUUAGCAGAAACAUCCAGCUAUUUCAAGCUUGUUAAUGGAAUUUUUAAACAGUGUCACUAGGUUUUCUUCUGAUCUGAUUUGACACCUACAUUUUACCAAGAAUUAAAAAAAAAAAGUUUGCCUUGUGAUGGAAUAACGUUAUGGAAUAUGGUUUAGUAAAUGGUCCUUUUUAAGCGUGUUUUUUCCUCUCAGGUUUGUAUUAGUUUUAAAUUAAUGCAGCUAUAGUUGAAAAAUGAGUCUUGUACUCUCCUGAGUGUGUUUACAAUGGCAGUAAAUGGUUUAUGGUCACCUUCAGUUAACACUGGCAAUAAAGACUGUAUUCCAUAA